rnacentral:rRNA from 1 species
GAUGAACGCUGGCGGCGUGCCUAACACAUGCAAGUCGAACGGACGAGAGGAGCUUGCUCCUCGAGUUAGUGGCGAACGGGUGAGUAACGCGUGAGCAACCUGCCUUUCAGAGGGGGACAACGGUUGGAAACGACCGCUAAUACCGCAUGAUGCAUUUUGGUCGCAUGAUCGGGAUGCCAAAGAUUUAUCGCUGAAAGAUGGGCUCGCGUCUGAUUAGAUAGUUGGUGGGGUAACGGCCUACCAAGUCGACGAUCAGUAGCCGGACUGAGAGGUUGAACGGCCACAUUGGGACUGAGAUACGGCCCAGACUCCUACGGGAGGCAGCAGUGGGGAAUAUUGGGCAAUGGGGGAAACCCUGACCCAGCAACGCCGCGUGAAGGAAGAAGGCUUUCGGGUUGUAAACUUCUUUUACCAGGGACGAAGGACGUGACGGUACCUGGAGAAAAAGCCACGGCUAACUACGUGCCAGCCGCCGCCGUAACAC